rnacentral:rRNA from 1 species
GGUGCAAACCGUGAGGAAGGUGGGGAUGACGUCAAAUCAUCACGGCCCUUACGUUCUGGGCUACACACGUGCUACAAUGGCCGGUACAGAAAGCAGCCACUAUGCGAAUAGGAGCUAAUCUUUAAAACCGGUCUCAGUUCGGAUCGCAGUCUGCAACUCGACUGCGUGAAGCUGGAUCGCUAGUAAUCGGAUAUCAGCCAUGAUCCGGUGAUACGUUCCCGGGCCUUGUACACCCGCCCGUCAAGCCAUGGAAGCUGGGGGUACCUAAAGUCGGUGCGAAGGAGCUGCCUAGGGUAAAACUAGUGACUGGGUAAGUCGUACAGUACCAGGGC